rfam:Chelonia mydas contig254905, whole genome shotgun sequence.
AUGCUUUGGUUUCUCUUCAGAUUGUAUAAAUCUUUCACCUUUUACUAAAGAUUUCUAUGGAAAGGAAUAUUUAUGAGUUUUUACCCAAUUUUUUGAGGCUUCAAUUCAAUGAAGCU